UUUAUAACUUUUUUGUGUCAUUGGUAAGAAACUCCUAUUCUUGACAAGUUUAAAUUAGCCGAAAACAUAUUUAAUUUAACCAAAUCCAAAGUUCUCAUUUGAAAAAGAAUAAUCCUAUUUGGAAUUUCCCAAUUAUAGACCCAAGAUAGUGCCACACUCCAGCUCCCCAGUAAGCUCAAUUGCCCAAGGAAGGACAACAAACAAGCCGCAGAGAGAUCUCGGCUAAAUUACGUGCCAAUCAACCACUCGGAAAAUGACAAUGGGCCCGAGACGAUAAGACGGAGACAGGACAAACUUAUUUGUUUAGCAACACGCAGGCGGCAGGACGAGGAUAAGGAAUCCUGGCGGGCGCUCUGCGACUGUGUGUUUGCUAAUUAGCACAUGUAUUCCUGGAGACAAAACUCCGGCGGCAGUGUCAACAUUUCACUUCACGUGAAGACGGAGAAGCCUGGGCUCCGUCUCGGUGGAUUAAAUUGUUUAAUUUUAAAUAUGCUCUGUCACUUCAUUUGUAAGGAUAUAACCGGCAACAGAAACGAACACGAAAAACUUUUGCCUUGAGGAAGGAAACUUCUCCUGGAGACGACGGAGAGAAAAAAUCAUUAACACGCCCGCAAGCGCAAGCCAAACGAAAGGAUAACAGAUUUUUCUGCUAAUUUGCAGGCAGACUCCUUUGUGCGUGACAUCUCGAAGUUGGGGUUGUCCUCUCGUCCUUAUAAGCCAGACACUAUCUUCCUCUUUAGAUCAACUUCUUGGCAGCUCGUUUCACUUGAGUGACGAAGCUCCAUGAGAUAAGCUCCUUGCAAAAAUGGGGAGACCUUUUGGAGAAGGAGAGGAGGUGCUCACGAAACUUUCUCAAUAAAUUGCGUUCUUCGGGUGGCACGUUGACAGUUUUGCUUAACGCUUCAUAAUCAGCAAGAAACAAAUACGUUUCCAUCUAAUUGUGUGCCCCAACAAUUAAAAGCCGAAAGGACUUAAGUCAACUAAAAACUUGAAAACCAACUACGGUUACCAUUCUUUUCUUUAACCUCCAUUAAAAGUCUGAGUCUGCCACUUCUCCAAAGGAGUACACUACACAAAAAAUAAGCUAAAAAAGUCAUGUUUAAUUGUAUAUUUUACUUAUUUUAGGAUUAAAUUUUCCCAGUGCUUUGGAAACUUUUUCAAAUGUUUUCCAAAUGCUCCAACUUACGCCUGAGUAGUUCCCAAGGAAGUAAGCCGGGAUGUCCUUUCUUUAAUCCAGCUCCUUGCCACCCGCCUUGUUGUCUGCGUGGCCUUUUAACGCUUCGCCGAUUGCACACAAGACAAAAUUAAUUGUUGAGUAAUUGAAAUUUUAUUUAUAUUAGUUUCCUUUUCUGGAGGUCCUGCCAUUUGGGAGUUGGGUGACCACUGCAGGCGGUAUCAGCUGCCUUUUGUGGACUGAAGUGUGUAAUUCUUGUUUGUCCUUGUAAUUUAGUAGCCGGAUUCGGCUUCACUGCAUUUAUUCCGCCACGGGGCUCUUUUUAUUCAAAUUUUUAUCCGAAUUUUUUGUGUGAUUCGUGGUCCAUUUUUUUGUAGUGGAAAAUCAAUUUGUCGCUUUGUUGAUGAUGUCACUUUAGGAAUUGAAAUCAUUUUUUAAAGCUGAAAGAACUGGUAUAGAAUCUUAUUUGAAGUUUCCCAUGAACUUCCUUGACUCAUCCUUUGAAAAAAUCUAAAUGGAUAUCUCUCCUCCUUCGAAACUAGUACAUUUCCCUAAGCUUACAAAGUACCCAUCGACUGCUCUCUCUGUUAAUGCGUUUUAAUUUAAUUUUGCAUGCCCAACCGCACCGAACACAACACAAAUGGCCGAAUACUCGAAAUAAAAAGCCAGCACCGAACAAUGUUGCACUCCACCCUCCGGAACACAUUCCGUUUUGAAAGUCCCCAGAUAUAAAGAGGUGUUCCAAAUGGGUGGGUGGCGAUUCUGGUUGGAAACUGCAGCUAAAGUGGCACUGGGAGUCAAUAAGAAUGCGAUGUGGAUGACGAUAGCUGUCAGGGGCAUAACAAGCUGGACACGACACAUUGCACAUGGACAUGAGACAGGACCUGAAAUGAACUGAGCCGAGGAGUGGAGUGGCUCUGGAAGUGGGCUGGGGAUCCAACUGUUAUCAGCGGCAAGCACACACUCACAAUUUGAAUUUAGAAUUCCACAGUCAGUAAUUGAAUACUCUUUCUGUUAUUUGUAAAAUGUUAUAAAGAUGGAUCUAAGAUUGAUUUAAGGCAACUCCUCUUAACUCCCCCAAAUCCUAACUACUUCUUUGAGAAGCAACUGUACUCUAGUCUCAAGUGCAUUUCCACUGCACUCAUCUGUCAGUCCUCAAGCCCAAUGUACAAGUAGCCAUAACUUGCAAAUAUAAUGACAAAGCAAUUAAAUAUUACGGCAAUCCUGGAUGGCCAGAUCGGUCUACGUCCUCCGAAAACGUCCUUCAUCCCCGCAGUCAAACAGAAAACAAUCAAAAACGGUGUCGAGUCUUCGCUUUACAUUCCUGGGGCAGGGGUAAUAGCUUUCAAACAAUAAAUGUCCGCAAAACCAUUGACAUGGCUAGCUGAAAUGUGGGGGUGGCCAGCAGAGGGUGGAAGGAGGCAGCGAGCAGAGUGGCCAAGUCAUUAUAGAAGAGGAAGUCGGCGAAACCUGGACUGCAAAGCAAUUCAUCUAAUUUGCAUGAGCCUUGAUGGGGUUCCCAUAUGUGCACUUAGAAAAAAGCUCCAGAAAAACAAAGUGCACCUGCUUGGGGUUGGCCGGCAGUCGCACAAUAAAUAAAAUUAAAAUGAUGGCAAACAAUGGACUGGACCACGGCAAAGUGGAACCGGAGACCAGGAACGGACUUAUUUGACUAUCCGUAAUGUUACACACCCACACACAUCUGUACACUCCGGCGUAAUGACCUACGAAACACAAAACAGAAAAUAGCUGCAAAAAACAAGGCUAUGACCAACAACAGGAGCGAGCAAAAUUGAAAAAGGAAAUUGUUUGUAACUGCGAAACGAGUUUAUUAUUUUGGCACCCUUUCGCAAUGGUCACAGCCCCAUCCCCAGCAAGUCUGACCACUGUCCCCCCGGACAUUAAAAGAAAUCGCGAGUUUUCCAUAUGCCUUUCGGGCGCAUGGAAAAAUGCAGGAUUAUAUGGCUGAAAAGACGGAGAAGGAGCCGAAGGCAUCAUUGGAGCAGUCGAGCAUCUCAUUGGACCAUCAAAAAGUCAGACCACAAAAGGCGCCACAGUCCAUUGGUCAUUGACGCUUCAAAGGGAAAAGAGCGCCAACAACAAUGAAAAAAUGCGGCCCACCCGCUGGGAAAAUUCAACUGAACAGGCGGCAGGACGUCUUACCAAGGACCUCAUCCCCUUCCCACCAAAACCGGCUCCGAGUGGGUGGGCUUAGGUAAUACGCAUUAGUGCCACGACUGCAUAUUACGAUGUGAUUAUUAUGAUAUGCUUUAUUUUGUGGUUCAAUGAGCUGUCUGCGUCUGGGUGGCAACUUUGACGGCUUAGGGAAAUCUGCUCCCAUUUUGCUCCGCGUCCUGUUCGAUGAAUAUUUUGUGCAAAUAGCUGUGAAGAGCCAAAGUCGCCGCUAAUUGAAACAAACGCCGCCACCGAACAAAUGUCGCGGCACUCUUUUGUGGCCUUAAACUCCAUGGAUACCGUCUCAGGACUGCAGGACUCCGCCAGGACUUAAUCUCAUAAGUGUACGUUAGUCAUGCGCUGCACUCGCUUUUUGGCCAAAGUGCUUGGCCAUAAAUUUAGCAGCUGCUCGACCAUUGUUUAGCUGCCUUUGGUGCGAUUUCUCAAACGCGUCCUGGCCAUGUGUGUCCUUUAACUGUAUCCUGUGCUGGAUAGCUGCGAGUGCUGGAAAUUCGCCCUCUGACUUCUGGCUUCUGACUCAAAGGCGAGAGGUCAGUGCUGAUUACUAACGGGUAGCUUGGUUUUUUCCACAAAUUUAAAGAUCAAGAAACUCCAUACUGUCAGCCAUUUCCGUUGGAAAAUUGAGAAUACACGUCCGGGGAUCUGGCUGCCGUUCGAAAUUACAGUAAUUUUCGCUUUUGGCCAAGGGUUUGCAAAUUUAUCGGCCGCCUACGUGUGGUUGCAACCGCCACUUAAACUGCCACACGUGCAACUAGCCAUUGAACAGGAAGACGGACCCCCAUGAUUACGGUGAUUGACGUCGAAAAAGUCAAUGACAUUCGUGAUAUUGGUAAUAUCCGGAUGCAAGUGACAGAAUUAUGCGGCAGCACAGUCAUGCGUCAUUAGGUAAGG